GACGAACGCUGGCGGCGUGCUAACACAUGCAAGUCGUACGGUAAGGCCCUUCGGGGUACACGAGUGGCGAACGGGUGAGUAACACGUGGGUGAUCUGCCCUGCACUUCGGGAUAAGCCUGGGAAACUGGGUCUAAUACCGGAUAGGACCCUGGGAUGCAUGUCGUGGGGUGGAAAGCUUUUGCGGUGUGGGAUGGGCCCGCGGCCGAUCAGCUUGGUGGUGGGGUGAUGGCCUACCAAGGCCGCGACGAGUAGCCGGCCUGGGAAGGUGACCGGCCACACAGGGAGUGAGAUACGGACCAGGAACCUACGGGAGGCAGCAGUGGGGAAUAUUGCGCAAUGGGCGCAGGCCAGAUACAGCGACGCCGCGUGAGGGAUGACGGGCUGCUGGUUAUAAACCUCUGUCAGCACCGACGAUGCGCAAGUGACGGUAGGUGCAGAAGAAGGACUGGCCAACUACGUGCCAGCCGCCGCCGUAA
rnacentral:rRNA from 1 species